rnacentral:rRNA from 1 species
GACGAACGCUGGCGGCGCGCUUAACACAUGCAAGUCGAACGGAAAGGCCUGCUUUCCCUUGUGGAUUGCGGGUACUCGAGUGGCGAACGGGUGAGUAACACGUGAGUGAUCUGCCCCCAACUUGGGUAUAAGCCUGGGAAACUGGGUCUAAUUCCCGAUAGGACUGCAGGGUGGUGCCUGUGGUGGAAAACGAUUUUCUAGUGGUUGGGGAUGAGCUCGCGGCGUAUCAGCUUGUUGGUGGGGUAAUGGCCUACCAAGGCGGGGACGGGUAGCCGGCCUGGGAGGGUGGACGGCCACAUUGGGACUGAGAUACGGCCCAGACUCCUACGGGAGGCAGCAGUGGGGAAUAUUGCACAAUGGGCGGAAGCCUGAUGCAGCGACGCCGCGUGGGGGAUGACGGCCUUCGGGUUGUAAACUCCUUUCGACCGCGAGGAAGCCACCUGGUUGGAAGGGUGGUGACGGUAGUGGUAGAAGAAGCACCGGCUAACUACGUG